UUUCCGUAGGUGAACCUGCGGAAGGAUCAUUCAUAAUAAAGUGUUUUAUGGCACUUUCUAAAAAUCCAUAUCCACCUUGUGUGCAAUGUUAGAUCUCGUCAAUCUUGGCGAGGUUUUUAUACAUCAACUCAUUCUUUAACUAAUUUGUCUGAAAAAUAUUAUGAAUACUUAAUUCAAAAUACAACUUUCAACAACGGAUCUCUUGGCUCUC
rnacentral:misc_RNA from 1 species